CUACGGGGGGCAGCAGUGGGGAAUAUUGCAUAAUGGGCGCAAGCCUGAUGCAGCCAUGCCGCGUGUAUGAAGAAGGCCUUCGGGUUGUAAAGUACUUUCAGCGGGGAGGAAGGGAGUAAAGUUAAUACCUUUGCUCAUUGACGUUACCCGCAGAAGAAGCACCGGCUAACUCCGUGCCAGCAGCCGCGGUAAUACGGAGGGUGCAAGCGUUAAUCGGAAUUACUGGGCGUAAAGCGCACGCAGGCGGUUUGUUAAGUCAGAUGUGAAAUCCCGGGGCUCAACCUGGGAACUGCAUCUGAUACUGGCAAGCUUGAGUCUCGUAGAGGGGGGUAGAAUUCCAGGUGUAGCGGUGAAAUGCGUAGAGAUCUGGAGGAAUACCGGUGGCGAAGGCGGCCCCCUGGACGAAGACUGACGCUCAGGUGCGAAAGCGUGGGGAGCAAACAGGAUUAGAUACCCGAGUAGUC
rnacentral:rRNA from 1 species